UCGGAUAUGGUGUAACGGCUAACAUUGCUGCCUUUCACGAAAAAAUAUUGUGUGGCAGCUUGGGGUUUGAUUCCCCGUAUCCGAA